rnacentral:lncRNA from 1 species
CUCGAUAUAUCAACUGGGGUCCAAGCAAAUAGGUCCGUAUUUUUCUGCAAGAAUGAAAUGAGAUAUUUUCUGCUUGCCUAAUCCAAGUUCAACCCGAUCCGAACUGUAUGCUCCUUAUUGCCAUCAUUUAAUGGGAUCAUCUUGAGGUCCUCCACUAGUUCCUCGCAUUCUUUGGUCAAUUCAUCAUGGGUGUCCAAUCUGUUAAUUGGAUAUACUUCAGAAGGUUUCGUACCAUGAAGCGCGAUGGUGUAGCACUAUUAGACUAGGGCCUAAUCACCACAAACUGCACCAACCCUGUACUCGAUUAGAAACU